GUUCCCCUUCGUUAGGGUGACUUCCAUUUUAUGGCACUCCAAUGUCGACAGUGUAAAGCUAAUUCUGGUCUGGCCUUUUGAAAUUCCUCAUUUGUGAAAAUCCACCAUAUGAACGUGAACAUACGGAUUUAUACAUCGCUGCCGCUCUUCAACUACGAACGCAUAGAUCUGUGCUUCUUAGAGAUGGAGGAAGCAUUUGAAGUGAAACAAUCCGGUGAAGACCCGCAUGUCGUCUGUCGGACAUCCGACGGAGCUGCAUCUAUCAGUGAUCAUGGAUAUAUGGUCACCGAUGGCGGAGAAGAUGUUGUUGGCGUCCAUGGCCUGGCGGUCGGCGAAGCAGGCAUUGCUGUACUCCUCCCCAUCGAACCAGGAGGACGGCCUCCGACAUGUUGGCGUCCAUGUGCUACUGUGCAUUACCAUCCUAUUCUGAACAAAACUGCCAUUAUGCUGCUCGGCUUUCUUUGCAUUGGCUGUAGCUCUAUAUGAGUGCAAAGCCCACAGUGACACAGUCUGCAAUCAUCACCUCUUUUCUUACACAAUUGACAUAUUACCACACCAUUCUGAAAAUUAUAAUUUUGCUUAGCAGCACGGUCAGCAUUUCGUGGUAAUGUUGACUUCCCUUUACAGACCAAUUAUUUCUACCUCUGCCUCUUUCAGUUUCUCCUCUUCAUGAAUAGCUGUCCUUUACCAUUAUUUCCAAUUUAUCUAUAUUCAAUACUUCAUGAUUGUUGACUUGCUGUUCACCUUUUCAAUGCAUGUGAAGCUUCACAGUGUAAUAGAAUUACGGGACAUUAUGCUUCGUACCUAGGCAUUCAUCCAGCCAUGAAUAACUUCCCCUGUUUCUUUUCUCAUUAAAUGCUCUAAGAUAGAUAAUAAGAGCUCUUUGGGUUCCCCCAACUUUGUGUUUUUAGGGUCUAGAUUUCUCUAUAUGUGUAUCUGUGUGCAUAAAGAAGUUAAAAGCUUACAAUAACAUACAGAUAUUCAUAAUAUAUGAACUAUAACUGAAAUAUAUAUAUAUAAUACAAAUCAUCACAAAGAAUGGUGAAAAAAAUAUUUGCAUAAGAAGAAGAAACUACUUCAGGUUGCAGAGGAGAAAAAUGAAGAAAAUCUGCCUAGGCAGCUGAAGAAGAAAAAAAAAAAAGAAAGUAGAAGAAGAGAAAAAAGACAGCUUGGUCGUUUCAAAAAAAAGCUUAAGUUGUUCAGUGCCUAGGUGAGCCGAGGUUCCCUGGGCAAUUGCUUAAGCGUUUCUUAUUGACAGCUUGCCUUUCAGCAGCUAGUCUGGAGACCACCAAGCCUAGGGUCUUUCUUGAGCCUAGGCAUGUUUUGAACGACAGUGUCAAACUGGUAAUUCUUUAUGUUGCAUUCCCCACAUAGGUUGCUUCUUGAGAUCUCCGCUGGUUCAAGUAAUGAACAAUUGAAAUAAACUUGGGAACAGCCGUUUGAUGCUCAAGAAAACAGUCUGCAUGUCUGUGUAAGUAGCGUAUCAUAACUCCUAAUGGAUCUGUGUCUCCUCUCACUGGGAUAGGAGUCUGCAUCGUUUUUGGCUGGUUUGGUUAUAUUCCUAGACUGAUGUGUCUUGGUAUCUCUUCAUGAGUAUUCUUUUGCAACAUGGUUUAUUAUCAUUUCUUUUUUGCUGGUACUUACUUGUAUAUGACGAGAACAGCAGAAGGAGAAAUUCUGUUAUUUGAUACCCUCUCCAUGGAAGGAGAGAAAAUGUCGGAGGCACAUCUGGUGUCUGUUACGGCAUUGGAGUUUUCCCAUGAGUCCAGUUUUUCAUCCAUCAUGGGAAUCAUUCACAAGGAAAUUUGUAACUUAAGUACAGAAACAUAUAUAUUUUAUUUUCAUGGUAUAUUUAUGCAUUCAGGGCAUUAGUUUCUGCUUCUCGGUGAGCCCCAGUGCAGGAAUAACAGUAAUUGAGGAUAUGAAAUCAAGUAUGUGUUUCACUAUUUAGUUUGUAUGUGUUAUUUCUCAAUGUUGUCGCUUACCGUGUCUUCACUAAUUCUCUACAGUUCGAGCUAUUUUGAUAUUGUUUAUGUCAUUCUACUCACCCUAUUGCUAUUAUAUAUAUAUAUAUAUAUAUAUAGAUUACUUCUUGUACAAAUCACAUUAGUCAUAAAAAAGAAUGACGAAAAGAACAUUUGCAUAGGACAACAAAGCUACUUCAGAUUGCAGAAAAAAGAGGAAGGAAAAAAUUGCCUGUACAGCUGAGGAAGAGGAGGGAAGAGUGAAAAAAGAGAAAAAGAUAUCUUUGUCAUUGAAGAAAAAAAGCCUUAAUUCUUCAAUGACUAGGUGAGCCGACGCACCUAGACAGUUGCAUUAGCAUUCCCAAAUGACAGGUUGUCUAGAACAGCUGGUCUGGGCGACCAGCCAGGACUAAGGCCCUAGGCAAACCUAGGCACGUUUCUAACAAUAUUGUCAGACUCAGGCUAUCAUAUAAUUCCUUAUGUUCCAUAGGCCUCAAUACUCCCCACGCCACAUAUGUUACCUUGUUGACAUCUCUUCUGGUUCAAGUCAAGAUUAAUUGAGAUCUACUCUGAAGCAGCUGUUUGAUGCUCAAAAGUGGAGCAUCAUAACUCCUAAUGGACCACUAGGAUAUAGGUAUGCAGCCUUUUGGCUGGUUUUGUUUCCUAGAUUGAUGUGUCUCAAACUCCCUUCAUGAGACUACGCUUUUGGGAUGUGGUUUAUUAACAUUGCUUUUUACUGGUAUUUCCUUGUUUGUGAUUGGAACAGCAGAAGAGGAUAUUUGAUGUCUGAUACCCUCUCCAUGGAAAGAUCGAACAAGUCGGAGAGUCGGCGAGGCAUGUCUGCUGUUUGUUACAGCAUUUGAGCCUUCUCAUGAGUCCACGUGUCAUCCAUCACCGAACUCAUGCAAAAGGAAGUUUAUACCUUGGUACAGGACCAUAUACUUUCUUUUCAUAGUAUAUUUAGCUCCACUGCCUGAAUAAUAGUAAUUGAUUAUGAAUCAACAAGUAUGUAUUUUCACCAAUUGGUUACUAUAUGUCAUUUCUAAAUAGUGUAUUUCCUUUGUCGACAUACUGUGUCUUUACUAAUGGUCCGUAGCUCUCAGCUAUUUAACUUUUUUCUUUUUUCAUUCUACCCAUCCUAUUGGUGUUGAUCUUGAAGAAUACUAUUGGGAGAUGCCAAUGGAAGACAUUGAACAAUGUGGUUAAUGACUUGGUGGUGAAAACAGAUAGACCCGGGUGUUUAGGUGUCGUUGAGAUUAUGAUCCUAUGACUGCAUAUAGGCCCUUGAUCGUGUUUCCCGUUCUUACUGUGCCAAUUCGUUCAUAUUUGAUGCACUACUGCACUUUGUUGACAACCUAGUGAAGCACUUGCGUGGCAGUCUUGUAUGUGUCUGGCGAUCACUAGGUUUCUAAUCUUUUCCCUUGUUUUCUUAAUAAAGCAAUUUGUUCUGUUGAAAUGGUUGAAUACUUGUCCUUGCCUUGUGCCCAAGUUGUAGUCUUGUUGCACGGACAAUUUUUGAUGCCAGACCAUAUACCGACAUUCUUUAUUCUGGUUUA